ensembl:misc_RNA
GAUUUACCUAUAUUUGAGUACCUGCUAUGUGAUAGGCACAUUGCUGAGUGCUAUUUUCAGUUUCUCAAUGUUAUAAAGCACAUUUUGACCUCUGGGAAACUAUUCAUACCACAG